UACGUAGGGGGCAAGCGUUGUCCGGAAUUAUUGGGCGUAAAGAGCGCGUAGGCGGUCCGGUAAGUCGGCUGUGAAAACCCGGGGCUCAACUCCGGGCCUGCAGCCGAUACGGGCAGACUAGAGUUCGGCAGGGGAGACUGGAAUUCCUGGUGUAGCGGUGAAAUGCGCAGAUAUCAGGAGGAACACCGGUGGCGAAGGCGGGUCUCUGGGCCGAUACUGACGCUGAGGAGCGAAAGCGUGGGUAGCAAACAGG
rnacentral:rRNA from 1 species